CUAUCAUUAACUGAAUCCAUAGGUUAAUGAGGCGAACCGGGGGAACUGAAACAUCUAAGUACCCCGAGGAAAAGAAAUCAACCGAGAUUCCCCCAGUAGCGGCGAGCGAACGGGGAGCAGCCCAGAGCCUGAAUCAGUGUGUGUGUUAGUGGAAGCGUCUGGAAAGGCGCGCGAUACAGGGGGACAGCCCCGUACACAAAAAUGCACAUACUGUGAGCUCGAUGAGUAGGGCGGGACACGUGGUAUCCUGUCUGAAUAUGGGGGGACCAUCCUCCAAGGCUAAAUACUCCUGACUGACCGAUAGUGAACCAGUACCGUGAGGGAAAGGCGAAAAGACCCCCGGCGAGGGGAGUGAAAAAGAACCUGAAACCGUGUACGUACAAGCAGUGGGAGCCUCUUUAUGGGGUGACUGCGUACCUUUUGUAUAAUGGGUCAGCGACUUAUAUUCUGUAGCAAGGUUAACCGAAUAGGGGAGCCGAAGGGAAACCGAGUCUUAACUGGGCGUUAAGUUGCAGGGUAUAGACCCGAAACCCGGUGAUCUAGCCAUGGGCAGGUUGAAGGUUGGGUAACACUAACUGGAGGACCGAACCGACUAAUGUUGAAAAAUUAGCGGAUGACUUGUGGCUGGGGGUGAAAGGCCAAUCA
rnacentral:rRNA from 1 species